rnacentral:rRNA from 1 species
GAUGAACGCUAGCGGGAGGCCUAACACAUGCAAGCCGAGCGGUAUUGUUUCUUCGGAAAUGAGAGAGCGGCGUACGGGUGCGGAACACGUGUGCAACCUGCCUUUAUCUGGGGGAAAGCCUUUCGAAAGGAAGAUUAAUACUCCAUAAUAUAUUGAACGGCAUCGUUUAAUAUUGAAAGCUCCGGCGGAUAGAGAUGGGCACGCGCAAGAUUAGCUAGUUGGUGGGGUAACGGCUCACCAAGGCGAUGAUCUUUAGGGGGCCUGAGAGGGUGAUCCCCCACACUGGUACUGAGACACGGACCAGACUCCUACGGGAGGCAGCAGUGAGGAAUAUUGGUCAAUGGGUGCAAGCCUGAACCAGCCAUCCCGCGUGAAGGACGACUGCCCUAUGGGUUGUAAACUUCUUUUGUAUAGGGAUAAACCUACCCUCGUGAGGGUAGCUGAAGGUACUAUACGAAUAAGCACCGGCUAACUCCGUGCCAGCCGCCGCGGUAACAC